rnacentral:rRNA from 1 species
UACGUAGGGUGCGAGCGUUGUCCGGAAUCACUGGGCGUAAAGCGCACGUAGGCGGCUUUUUAAGUCAGGGGUGAAAUCCUGGAGCUCAACUCCAGAACUGCCUUUGAUACUGAGAAGCUUGAGUCCGGGAGAGGUGAGUGGAACUGCGAGUGUAGAGGUGAAAUUCGUAGAUAUUCGCAAGAACACCAGUGGCGAAGGCGGCUCACUGGCCCGGUACUGACGCUGAGGUGCGAAAGCGUGGGGAGCAAACAGG